AAACACCCGUUCCCAUCCCGAACACGGAAGUUAAG
rnacentral:rRNA from 1 species